UGGGAUUUUGCCGGGUACUUUGUGUAUGGAUUGGAUGUGUUUGUGUUUGUCAAUCAUGGGGCUUGGGCUAAAGCUUUUGUUUCACUGUACUUUGUGUCAGAAGCUUGUAAUACGGUGGGGCUCCGGCAGCAGGGGGGGAUGGACGUGGCCGUGGACUUGGACUUGUACCAGGCCGUCCCGCUGCUCUUCGCCGUCCUUGUCCUUAUCCUCGUCGUCGUCUGUGUGGAGCUGCAUGAAGCCAGGAAGGAGCGGCCGCGGGAGCUGCCGGCAGCUGAGGCUGCCAGGGAGAGCGGCACGGGGAGCCAAACGGCUGUGGCAGAGCAGCGGGAGCAGGCGGGGGAGGAGCGGAGCAGGGCGGUAGCUGAGCAGCAGGAUAAGGCAGUGGGGGAGGUGAGUCCCGCGGCUGUUCCCGACCCCCCAAUGGCAGAGAGUGUCCCCCGGAAGUCGCCCGCCGACCCCCAGCAGGAUGCAGAAGACUACGCAGCACUUCCCAGCAAGGCAGAGGAGGAACCGAGUCCUGCCGCCGUUCCGAACCCCGCAGCAUCCGAGAAUAUUUCCCGGAAGUUAUCCGCCGAGCCCCAGCAGGAUACAGGAGACCAGGCAGCAUUUCCCAGCAAGGCAGAGAAGGAAGAUCCGGACUCAGGAGAAGAGAAGCUGGUGGUGGGAGAACUGGCAAGCAGGGCAUCUACAUCAGCCCCAGUCGCAAAAGUUAAGCAGAGUCAGGUUUGGGACUUGUCUAAGGUUAGACAAGUACAUAGGAGCCCCAGGAGACUGUCCCCAAGGCUGGACAGUCAUGAGUGGCAGGGCAUGUGGGACAGUAUGGCCAGGUAUCUGGUCCACUGGGUCCCUCCAGUGCUUUGGAAGCAUUGGAAGUGGAAGGCAGCUGUAUGGAGUCCCCAGCAGCAAGCUGUAGAACUGCUGAAGGGGACGGUGAAUGAUUUUGAGCCUGGUGGGCCCAGAUACUUCAGGCUAUCAGUCCAGAGAUGCAACAUAGAGAUGUCUCAUGAUCGAGGGGUGGACUUAAGAGUGAUGGUGUAUUGAAAAUGUGGG
rnacentral:lncRNA from 14 species